UUGCCAUCCCUAGAUGCUGCAGCGUGUGCUGUCUACAAGCAAGGACAUUCUCUAUCCUAACCGCAAUGCUGUGGGAUGUUCUGUAUGGCAAAUGUGUUGCUAAUUAGUCAAUAAAUAAAACACUGAUUGGCCAUUGGCUAGGCAGGAAGUGUAGGCGGGACAAGGAGGAGAAUAAAGCUGGGAAGUGGAAGGCUGAGUCAGAGAGACACUGCCAGCCACCACGAUGACAAACAGCAUGUGAAGAUGCCGGUAAGCCACGAGCCACGUGGCAAGGUAUAGAUUAAUGGAAAUGGAUUAAUUUAAGCUGUAAAAACAGUUAGCAAGAAGCCUGCCAUGGUCACACAGUUUGUAACCAAUAUAAGUCUCUGUGUUUACUUGGUCGGGUCUGAGUGGCUGUGGGACCGGCAGGUGAGAGAGAUUUGUCCUGACUGUGGACCAGGCAGGAAAACUCUAGCUACACCACAAUGUCAACUUCAAGUACAGAAAAUUAACCUUGCAUAUAGGUCUUAGCCUUUCUCAGAUGUCACUGGACUUUGGCCAAACCCACAGCCUUUGCCAACCAUCUCAAGAAUGUCCCAGCCAGAGGCGAGUUCCAGGUCAGUGGCGUGGGUUGCCUUUGCUCUUCGUCUCCAUCACCUCUACAAUUCAGGUCUUUGACUUUGAUGACCUUAACAGUUUUAGAGGAUCCAGCUUCUCUGGAUUGGAUCAGAAGAAGUCCUUCCCUGUGGGCCUCUGCAUCCUUUUUGUUCCGUUCUCCAUAAUUCCCUGAACAUUCCCUUCAGUUUUGGCAAGCCAGGGUUUUCCUCCUGAGCCCUGGGAGCAGCAUCCAUUUCUAAGAAGUCUUGACUCUUUUGAGGAGAGAAGGGCAUUUAGAAGCUGUUUCUACUUGAAUUAAAAUGUCUCCCAUAGGUUCAGGCAUUUGAACACUUGGUUCCUGGUUAGUAGCAUGCUUGGGGAGGUUGACUGGGAGUGGCCUUGCUGGAGAAAGUGUGUCACUAGGGGUGGGAUUUGGAUGUUUAUGGUCUUUGUUCAUGUCACCUCGCACUCUCUGCUUCACGUUUGAGGUUUCAAGAUCCAGGCUGUUCCUUCCACUGUGCCUGCUGCUUGUCACCAUGCCUUCCUAUCAUGAUGGGUUCUCCCUCUGGAACUGUAAGCCAAAAAAACCUCUUCCUUCUGUAUGUUACAUCAGUCAUGAUGUCUUAUACAGCAAGAGAAAAGUAACUAAUACAGGAACCAGUAUCUGGGUCCUAGGUGUGCUCAUUUCUACUGCAGAGUCAUGGGUCUCUGGUUCUGUCAGUGGGCACAUCCACAUAAGCACAAAUUUGCACAUUUAUAUUUACAUCCAUCCUCUACAUUGCAUAUAAUAAAUCAUAUUUGAUUAAUUAGUAAUGGCUGCCAUAUUCAUGUAUCCAUACAAAAACAGGCUGUCUCUUAGGGUUUCUAUUGCUGUGAUGAAACACCAUGACCAAAAGCAACUUGGGGAGGAGAGGGUUUAUUUGGCUUAUAUUUCCAUAGCCCUGUUUAUCAUUAAAGGAAGUCAGGAAAGGAACUCAAACAGGGCAGGAACCUGGAGGCAGGAGCUGACACAGGGGCCGUAGGGAGUGCUGCUUACUGGCACCACCACACCUGGGCAAGUGGUUCCAGAUGCUAUGAAAAAGCACACUUAAGCAAGAAACAUUGUCCCUCCAGGGCUUCUGCUUCAGUUCCUGCCUUGAUUUCCUUCCUUAACUUUCUUGGUGAUUGCCUUAGUUAGGGUAUCUAUUGCUGUGAUGAAACACUAUGACCAAGGCAACUUGGGAAGGAAGGAGUUAUUUGGCUUACACUUCCAUAUCACCGUUCAUCAUCAAAGGAAGUCAGGACAGGAACCCAAACAGGUUAGGACUCUGGAAGCAAGAUCUGAUUGCAGAGGCCAAGGAGGGGUGCUGCUUACUGGCUUGCUUCCAUGUCUUGCUCAGCUUAUUUUCUUAUAGAACCCAGGACCACCAUCCUAGGGAUGGCCCCAACCACAAUGGGCUGGACCCUCCCCCAUCGACCACUAAUUAAGGAAAUGUCCUACAGGCUUGCCUACAACCUGAUCUUCUGGAGGCAUUUUAAAAAUAUAUCAUUUAUGUUUAUUUUAUGUUCAUUGGUGUCUUGCCUGUUUGUGUGUCUGUGUGAGGGUGUUGGAUCCCCUGGAAGUGGAAUUACAGACAGUUGUGAGCUGCCAUGUGGGUGCUGGAAAUUGAACCUAGGUCCUUAACCACUGCAGUAAUGAACUGCAUUCAUGCAUGAUGAACUAGUGUCCUCCCAGGAUAUCCUCCACCUCCCUGGCAGCAGAAUUCCGGUAUGAGUUCUGGAGGGGCAAAGCAUAUUCAAAUACACCCCAAGGCUGCUUUCUCCAUUGCCAUGUGUUCUAUGCCAGAGUGAAACCUGGCUCUCUUCUCAUCACCUUUAAUACUCUGAGCUAUUUGAUCAAAAUCUUCCUACCACUGUCUUUGCUCUGAAGACAGCCUUCACCCUAUGCCAACAGACUCCAGCACCCUUCAUGGAUGGUUCUCCAGUCUAUGCAGACCGCAGCACCACGUGCUGGACUGUCUCACACCCCUCCUACCCCCCUCACUCCUUUGGACCCUGACACUAUUAUAAUUUGGAUCUGAAAUGUUCCCAAAGGCUUUUGGGUUAUAGGUUUACUCACUAGCUGGUCACCCCAUUGUGCUGUGGGAUGUUCUGUAUGUCAAAUGUGUUGCUCUGAUUGGUCAAUAAAUAAAACACUGAUUGGCCAGUAGCCAGGCAGGAGAAAGUAUAGGCGGGACAAGGAGGAGAGAAUUUUGGGAAGUGGAAGGCUGAGUCAGAGACACUGCCAGCCACCGCUGCCAUGACAAGCAGCAUGUGAAGAUGCCGGUAAGCCACAAGCCACGUUGCAAGGUAUAGAUUUAUAGAUAUGGGUUAAUUUAAGAUAUAAGAACAGUUAACAAGAAGCCUGCCAUGGCCAUACAGUUUGUAACCAAUAUAAGUCUCUGUGUUUACUUGGUUGGGUCUGAGCGGCUGUGGGACUAGUGGGUGAGAGAGAUUUGUCCUGACUGUGGGCCAGGCAGGAAAACUCUAGCUACACCAUUGGAAGGUGGUGGACACUUUAGAAGGUGGGGCCUGGAGGAAGGAAGUCAGGUCAUUAGGAGCAUGUCCCUGCAGGGGUAUUGGGCCCUCACCUGCCUCCCCAAUCCCCUUCUUGGCUGGUGUGAAAUAGUGAGCUUUGCUCCGUUACCCACUUCUCACCAUGAUGCUCAGUCUUGCUGUAGGCCCAGAGCAGUAGGGCCUCUGAAACCAGGAGACAAAGUAGACCUUUCCUACUUUUCAGUUGAUUUCCUCGGGUAUUUUGUCACAGUAGUGGAAAGCUGACUGAUGCCAUCUUGGGUCACCUCCCUCUUUCUGUGGGCUUUCCUUCCUUGCUCCGUUCAGAGCUUCUACCUGGCUCCUGCGCUGCCUUGUGUGGAGGUUUGGACUCCUCUAGACUAAAUUGUUUGAGAAGAGGUGGGGACACUAAAAGAAUAUUUUGGUGUCUGGAAACUUUACAUUUAAAGGACAGUGCAUCUAUCAGCCCCUUCCUUGAUGUUUGUUCAAUUUAAUUCCAUAUUUUGAUCUUAACCACGCAUAUUUGCUUAGACAUCUCCCCCAACAGACCAAGACUUGGGUGUUAACAAAUUGUGGGGUGUGGAACAGAGGGCUGGAAACAGCGAAAUGAGAGGAAGGGAAAGCCAGGACAGGGGAAUACUGGAGUCCUCUCGGAAUCCUCAAAGAAAGUAUCUGAAGAUGUAUUUCUGGCAGCUGGAACAGGGGACACUCUUGGGCUUUUGUCUUUCCCAUCUCAGAGGUUGCCUUGAGUGUGGGAUCCUCUGUACUUCUGGGUUUGUGCGCUGGCUGGGGUGGGUGAAGGGACUGCUGUAGGGUUCCUUCAGAGCUGUGUUAGAGGCGAGAAAUGCUGAGAGGGAAAGGAGGAAGGAGGGAAGGAGAGAGAGAGAGAGAGAGAGAGAGAGAGGGAGAGAGAGAGAGAGAGAGAGAGAGAGAGAGAGAGAGAGAGAAAGAGAAUAUCGUGAAUAUCGUGCAGCUGAGAUGUUGACAGAUAAGCCCUUGUAUACAGGUUGUCACAAUAAAUAACCAUGGCCUAAGAGUCGGCUGAGAGGAUGGACUCUACAAGAUGCCUGAUGUCACCUCAAAGAAAAGCCCCUCUGCACUGCAGACACAAUGUGCAUAGAUUUUGGAGGCUCAUCUGUGGAGCUGGGAAUGCUUGGAAACACAUCGGAGAGGCGAGGAUACAGGCAGCCCAAGAUGGAGUCUUCUGCUAUCUGCUGGACCGGCUGCAGGCUUGUGGAAUAGGAAAACUACUCAUUUCCCUCCGAGAGAGAGGCGCCCAAAGCAGAUAUUUCAAUAUAUUCCAAUUUAGCCGAGGGAAGCCAGAACAUGGAUGUUGUUGCCAAGGAAACCACCUCCUUCCUCCCAGUGUGCUGUGCAUACGUGUAUCACUCCAUCUCUUGGCUCUCCAAGGCCAUCUGUUUGCCUCGGUUUGAACUCAGCCAUGCCAAGGGGGACAUGAACCUUCUCGCCGAGAAGCCACUGGUGUUGGCUGGCACGCUGAAGGAAGAGCGCAAGACCAUGGACGCAGGAAAUACACCCGUUACAGGUCACUGCCACCUGGACUCACAGCUGCCUUUGACUGGCAGUGUCCUGCAUCACCUGACCUUCAUCGAGAGGUCUGGAUGAGGUAGACAUCUGCCCUUCCUGCCAUCCUGCCACUGUGGAGGGAAACUGGGCCUUGCCCCUGGUUCUCGGGCCACUGUGAACAAGCACUGGUCACUUGUCACUUCUGGCCCAGGUGUCCGUCUAUAAAAUGGCCAGCUCCACACCCCGUGGCCUGGCUGCAGCUGACAACCUGUAGCAGACAUGCAGGGAAGCCACCAUGGAGGAGCUGUGGCAGUGAAAGGUAUGGAGCAAUGUGGGAGAACACAGAUACAGGGUAUAGAGAACGUGAUGUUACUGAAUAGGGCUGGCCUUCGGCCCAUGAGCUGGCCUGCAGCACAGAGCCCCAGUGGCUGCAGCCCACACUGCCUGCCCUGCUGGGAGAAGGAGAGCUUGGAGUAGCAUCACUGCCUGGAGGCCACAAGCACAAUGGCCAAGCCCCGCGAGCCUGGAUGCAGCCAUCACCGAGGGCCAGGAGAUGUGCAGCCACAUGGAGCUCUCACGGAUCCUGCCCCUGGAUGCCCUCCUUAGCUGAAAGAUCAUCCUGACUCUGGGCAACAGCAGGAUAUCCAUGAUGAGUCUUGGUGAUGGUCCAGCAUUUAUGGUGACCCAGAAACCAAACACCUUGAACCAGACCAAUGACUCAGGGCAAUGAGUAUUUGUACAUAAAGUUGUUUAGGCAAAAAAAUAUACUGUGGGACACACUGCGGUUUGCAAUGCCACAUCGAUGAAAAAAAUAUGUGAUGGAGAGAUAGGAAAAAUGGAGGAAUGUAGCGGCUCAUGCACAGUGGGAAGAGGUGGAACUGGAGACACCAUGGUGGUGACAGGUGUGGGAGAAGGCUUCGGGUGUGCAGGGGAGAACGUUGUUGCUGAGUAGGGCCAGCAGGGUGGUAUGCAGCAGCCUAGAAGCUUGUAUAGGCUCUGUCCCCAAACAUGCUACCCAGCCGCAUGAUCACCCUGGCUCUGAGCAACGAGAGGAUGUCCAAGAUGGAGAAUGGUUCAUUUUCUGGAUUGGGCCUCUUCAAAAGACCUCCAGGGUCCAAUCCGCCCCAGAGACCGUCUUGAUAUCAAUGAUCCGUGUUAUAGCUGGGGGACAUGCUGGUGUCUGUCUGUGGUCCAUGCUGCCACCGCUGGCUGAGCUGAUGCCCAAGGUUCAUGUGGCUGUCUAUGGUCUGUGGUGCCACUAGAGGCCAUGUCAAUGUUCAUGGCCCAUGCUACCACUGGAGGCAGGGUGGAUGUCCGUGGUCUGUGCUACUGCUGGGAGUCAUGUUGAUGUCAGUGAUCAGUGUCUCCACUGUUGGCCAUGUUGAUAUAUGUGGCCUGAGCUGCCUCCUGAGGCCAUGCUGAGGUCUGUAGUCUGUGUUGCUGCCAAGGGCCAUGUUGAUAUCCGUGGUCCUGCUGCUGCCUAGACCAUGUGGAUGUCCAUGGUCCAUGUUACUACAGAAGACCAUGGUGAUGUCCAUGGUCUAUGCUGCCACCUGAAGCCAUGCUGAUGUCCGUGGCCUGUGUGGCCACCUAAGCCAUGUUGAUAUCUGUGGCCUGUGCUGCUGCUGGAGGCCAUGAUGGUGUCUCUGAUCCACACUGCAGCUGAGGACCAUGUUGAUGUUUGUGGUCUGUGCUGCCACUGGAGGCCACAUUGAGGUCCACGGUACUUGCUGCUGCCAGAGGCCGUGUGGAUGCCUGUGGUCUGUGCUCCUACAGGAGGCCAUGUUGAUAUCUGUGGUCUGCCCUGCCACAGGAGACCAUGCUGAAGUCCAUGGACCAUGAUAAUGCCAGAAACCAUAUGAAAGCCGUGACUGUAGAGGGCAAGGAGGCUUCUUUUGCAGUGGUCUUGAUGACUGCAGACUCACAGUUGAGAAUGAGAGACGUAGAAGGCUUCGGUGACAGCCUCUCCCUGCCCCCACCACACACAAAAAGAAACAGUCUAGACAGAAGCUAUUGAAGAGAACUCUUAAAAAUUGUGAUAGGGACCCUGGAGUGUAGCUCUUCACAGUUGAUGGCUUCUGGUGGGGGUGGGGG